UACGUAGGGGGCAAGCGUUGUCCGGAUUUAUUGGGCGUAAAGAGCGUGUAGGCGGCCAUGUAGGUCCGUUGUGAAAACUCGAGGCUCAACCUCGAGACGCCGAUGGAAACCAUCUGGCUAGAGUCCGGAAGAGGAGAGUGGAAUUCCUGGUGUAGCGGUGAAAUGCGCAGAUAUCAGGAAGAACACCCGUGGCGAAGGCGGCUCUCUGGGACGGUACUGACGCUGAGACGCGAAAGCGUGGGGAGCGAACAGG
rnacentral:rRNA from 1 species